rnacentral:rRNA from 1 species
AGUGAAUAGAUACCCAGGUAGUCCACGCCGUAAACGUUGGGCACUAGGUGUGGGUCUCAACCAACGAGAUCCGCGCCGUCGCUAAACGCAUUGAGUGCCCCGCCUGGGGAGUACGGCCGCAAGGUUAAAAACUCAAAGGAAUUGACGGGGGCCCGCACAAGCAGCGGAGCGUGUUGCUUAAUUCGAUGCAACGCGAAGAACCUUACCUGGGCUUGACAUGAUAGGAAAAAGCCGUAGAGAUACGGUGUCCUGGGUCGUAUCACAGGUGGUGCAUGGCUGUCGUCAGCUCGUGUCGUGAGAUGUUGGGUUAAGUCCCGCAACGAGCGCAACCCUUAUUCUAUGUUGCCAGCGGGUAAUGCCGGGGACGUCAUAGAAGACUGCCGGGGUCAACUCAGAGGAAGGUGGGGAUGAGGUCAAGUCAUCAUGCCCUAUGUCCAGGGCUGCAAACACGCUACAAUGGCCGGUACAAAGGGCUGCAAACUCGCGAGGGUGAGCGAAU